UACGGAGGGUGCAAGCGUUAAUCGGAAUUACUGGGCGUAAAGCGCGCGUAGGCGGCUCGAACAGUCGGGUGUGAAAUCCCUGGGCUCAACCUGGGAACUGCAUUCGAUACUGUCGAGCUAGAGUGUGGGAGAGGGUAGUGGAAUUCCCGGUGUAGCGGUGAAAUGCGUAGAUAUCGGGAGGAACAUCAGUGGCGAAGGCGACUGCCUGGCCCAACACUGACGCUGAGGUGCGAAAGCGUGGGUAGCAAACAGG
rnacentral:rRNA from 1 species